UACGGAGGGGGCUAGCGUUGUUCGGAAUUACUGGGCGUAAAGGGCGCGUAGGCGGUGCGAUAAGUCAGGCGUGAAAGGCCCGGGCUCAACCCGGGGACUGCGCUUGAUACUGUUGCGCUGUGAGUCCGGGAGAGGAUGGCGGAAUUCCCAGUGUAGAGGUGAAAUUCGUAGAUAUUGGGAAGAACACCGGUGGCGAAGGCGGCCAUCUGGACCGGCACUGACGCUGAGGCGCGAAAGCGUGGGGAGCAAACAGG
rnacentral:rRNA from 1 species